GUGCCAGCCGCCGCGGUAAUACAGGGGGUGCGAGCGUUAAUCGGAAUUACUGGGUGUAAAGGGCGCGCAGGCGGCGGGACGUGAGCGGUGUGAAAGCCCCGGGCUUAACCUGGGAAGAGCAUUGCAGACUGUCCUGCUGGAGUACAUGAGAGGGUGGCGGAAUUUCCGGUGUAGCGGUGAAAUGCGUAGAGAUCGGAAGGAACGUCAAUGGCGAAGGCAGCCACCUGGCAUGAUACUGACGCUGAGGCGCGAAAGCGUGGGGAGCGAACAGGAUUAGAUACCCUUGUAGUCC
rnacentral:rRNA from 1 species